rnacentral:lncRNA from 1 species
GACAGUUGGGAAGCUCUCUUAAACUGGGUGGCAGACUGAGAGGCUGUGUGCCAAAGGGUCUCCCUGAAGAAACCAAUUUAGGAGCUGCCAAGGACUUGGAUUAUCUUUUAAGAUUGAGUUCUACUCUGCGUCGGGGGCUCAUUGGACUUGGACCUGUAAAAAAAAAAUGAGACUUAUAACUGGAAGUUGUCUUAGAAAUCAUCUAGUGGGGGCAGCUUCUAGCAAGAGAAACUUUUGAUUAAUUGGAGUAUUUUCCCUUGACCUUUAUGUCAACACUACAGUACAGUGGUUAGUGAUUCAACAGAAGAGGGAAUAAGACUUGGAUAAUCCAUAAAAUGUAUAAUCAGGUACUAAAUAUUUGAGUUGACUGAAUUGCUAAAUCCAAAACUUAAAAAACAAACAAACAACAAAACAAGCAAUUAGAAAAAAGGUGAACAAAACAUUUUGGUACACCCUGAUCUAUUCUACAUUUUGAAUACUGGGCUGAUAAAUGAGCAUUGAAAACAUGCUCUACAUUUUAAAAUGUGUUUUCCAGGAGAAAAGUGAUUGAAUUCACAAUUG